UGGCUAAUGCAUGGGAAAUUGUGUCUGCAGGUGGUUUUACAAACAUGGGCAUAUAGGGCUCCUGGUACUCAUACUCCAAAUCCCUGAAAGCAUAUGGAAACACACUUCCCCAGUGAAAUGGAAGAAAAUCAGACAAUGGUCACAGAAUUCAUCCUACUGGGAUUUUGUCUUGGAACAAAGAUU
rnacentral:lncRNA from 1 species